rnacentral:misc_RNA from 1 species
AAGUCUAGAAAUUGUCUAGCUUCAGCGCCUAGCCCCUCGAGGUCAUAAGCCAAUCCGUCAAGAAGGUUAAAAAGCAACUUUCUAGCCGGCUCGUCUUAUGCUUGUCGGGGCUGAGCAAGGCGCUUCAGCUUUUCUUGAUAUGGUGCGAAUACCUUGAAAGUGCCACAGUGACGGAGCUUCAAAGGAAACUUUGAAGGUGGAACGAGGUAAACCCCACGAGCGAGAAACCCAAAUUUGGUAGGGGAAGUGUCUGGCGGGAAUUGAACCAAAAGACACCAUGAAUCUAUUCAUGAGAUAGAUGAUUCUCCAUUUUGUGCGAGGCUUCUAGCCGAAUGUAGCACAUGAUGAACAAAACACGGCUUAUGAGG